AUUAAUGGGAGCUUGCUCCCGUUAAUUAGCGGCGGACGGGUGAGUAACACGUGGGCAACCUACCUGUAAGACUGGGAUAACUUCGGGAAACCGGAGCUAAUACCGGAUGACACUGAGGAACUCCUGUUCCUUAGUUGAAAGAUGGCUUCGGCUAUCACUUACAGAUGGGCCCGCGGCGCAUUAGCUAGUUGGUGAGGUAACGGCUCACCAAGGCGACGAUGCGUAGCCGACCUGAGAGGGUGAUCGGCCACACUGGGACUGAGACACGGCCCAGACUCCUACGGGAGGCAGCAGUAGGGAAUCUUCCGCAAUGGACGAAAGUCUGACGGAGCAACGCCGCGUGAGCGAUGAAGGCCUUCGGGUCGUAAAGCUCUGUUGUUAGGGAAGAACAAGUGCUAGUUAAAUAAGCUGGCACCUUGACGGUACCUAACCAGAAAGCCACGGCUAACUACGUGCCAGCAGCCGCGGUAAUACGUAGGUGGCAAGCGUUGUCCGGAAUUAUUGGGCGUAAAGCGCGCGCAGGCGGUUUCUUA
rnacentral:rRNA from 1 species